UACGGCCAUAUCACGUUGAAAUACCGGUUCCCGUAUGAUCACCGAAGUUAAGCUAAGCCGAGCUUGGUCAGUACCUAGAUGAAUGACCGCUUGAAAAUACCAGG